GUGUGGGAAAUAGUUUUAUUUCAUUAAAGUAUUAAACAAGACGCAAUUUCAGUUAUGUGAUCUUGUUGUUCAGUGCACUUAAGCUUUUCUAAAGAUUGCUAUUUUUUUCUUCUUCAAACUAUGAUGGUUUGAAUUUUUUUUUGGGUUAAAUGUUGAUGUCUGCCGGCUUAGGAUAUUGAUAGGAAAUAAUCAAGUCUACUUAUGCAUUUGUGUGGAUGAGACUCCUCCUCUGCAGUAAAUGCAGAGUUUCUGCACCCAUAGCUGAUGUUCUUGAAGAUGAAGAUGGUGCUAUUUUUUUCAUUAUGUUUAUGGCUAUCUCAAUGAGGAAAAAAAUGCUAUUACAAUGGGUUUCCAAUUUUUGGAUGAUGUAUGCUUUACAAUGGGUAUAUGUAGGGGUUGACAUCCAGCCUCGCUGCUCCGGGUCAUGUUCAACAAGCACCAUAGAAUCGCCAUAAUUCUGAAUAUCUGAU
rnacentral:lncRNA from 1 species